rnacentral:rRNA from 1 species
GGGGAAUAUUGGACAAUGGGGGGAACCCUGAUCCAGCAAUGCCGCGUGUGUGAAGAAGGCCUGAGGGUUGUAAAGCACUUUUGUUGGGGAGGAGUCUUGGAUGGUUAAGAGCUGUUUAAGAGGACGUUACCCAAAGAAUAAGCACCGGCUAACUCCGUGCCAGCAGCCGCGGUAAUACGGAGGGUGCGAGCGUUAAUCGGAAUUACUGGGCGUAAAGGGUGCGUAGGUGGUAUGAUAAGUCGUCUGUGAAAGACCUGGGCUUAACCUGGGUUGGUCAGAUGAUACUGUUGUACUCGAGUAUGGGAGAGGGUAGUGGAAUUUCCGGUGUAGCGGUGAAAUGCGUAGAGAUCGGAAGGAACACCAGUGGCGAAGGCGGCUACCUGGCCUGAUACUGACACUGAGGCACGAAAGCGUGGGGAGCAAAC